UGAGCGACCUACCUAAUUGUGGGGGAUAGCCGGCCCAACGGCCGGGUAAUACCGCAUACGAUCGGAGAGGGGCAUCCCUUUCUGAGGAAAGCCUUCGGGCGCAAUUUGAGGGGCUCGCGGCCUAUCAGCUAGUUGGCGGGGUAACGGGCCCACCAAGGCGACGACGGGUAGCUGGU
rnacentral:rRNA from 1 species